UACGUAGGUGGCAAGCGUUACUCGGAAUCACUAGGCGUAAAGCGCAGGUAGGCGGUUUGAUAAGUCUUUUGUGAAAGCUCCCGGCUUAACUGGGAGAGGUCAAAGGAAACUGUCAGGCUAGAGUGUGGCAGAGGAAACUGGAAUUCCCGGUGUAGCGGUGAAAUGCGUAGAUAUCGGGAGGAAUACCUAUGGCGAAAGCAGGUUUCUGGGCCGUCACUGACGCUGAGCUGCGAAAGCUAGGGGAGCAAACAGG
rnacentral:rRNA from 1 species